GCUGAGGGCUCGGCGUCUGAGGAAGCAGAGAUAAGAAUAUAACUUCUGGAACCGGGCAGUCAUCUUGCAACCGUGAGGUCACAAGCAUCUGGACAUAAAAACAUUCUGAGGAAGGCAUAGUGGAAAAAAUAGAACCACGUUUCUAAAAGACAGUGUUGAGCCCCUGCACCAAGCCAGGAACAUCCAUCUGCAGACUUAACUGCUACAGCACUGUUCACAACAGCUGAGAUGUGGUAACGAAGCAAGCCUCCAUCAGCAAACGCACAGACAAUGCAAACGUGGUGCAAACGCACAGUGGAAUGGUAGUGAGCCAUAAAAAGGAAGGGGAAUCCUGCCAUUUGUGAUAA